GUGGGGAAUCUUGCGCAAUGGGCGAAAGCCUGACGCAGCCAUGCCGCGUGAAUGAUGAAGGUCUUAGGAUUGUAAAAUUCUUUCACCGGGGACGAUAAUGACGGUACCCGGAGAAGAAGCCCCGGCUAACUUCGUGCCAGCAGCCGCGGUAAUACGAAGGGGGCUAGCGUUGCUCGGAAUUACUGGGCGUAAAGGGCGCGUAGGCGGACAGUUAAGUUGGGGGUGAAAGCCCGGGGCUCAACCUCGGAACUGCCUUCAAUACUGGCUGUCUUGAGUAUGAGAGAGGUGUGUGGAACUCCGAGUGUAGAGGUGAAAUUCGUAGAUAUUCGGAAGAACACCAGUGGCGAAGGCGACUCACUGGCCCAAUACUGACGCUGAGGCGCGAAAGCGUGGGGAGCAAACAGGAUUAGAAACCCGUGUAGUCC
rnacentral:rRNA from 1 species